rnacentral:rRNA from 1 species
CCCUUAGAUGUUCUGGGCCGCACGCGCGCUACACUGACGAAGUCAGCGAGCAUGUCCUACGCCGACAGGUGCGGGGAAUCUUGUCAAACUUCGUCGUGAUGGGGAUUGAUUAUUGAAAUUCUUGAUCAUCAACGAGGAAUUCCUAGUAAACGCAAGUCAGCAGCUUGCGUUGAUUACGUCCCUGCCCUUUGUACACACCGCCCGUCGCUACUACCGAUUGAAUGGUUUAGUGAGAUCUUCGGAUUGGCGCCACUGCGGCUCAGCAAUGGGCUCGGUGGAUGCCGAAAAGUUGAUCAAACUUGAUCAUUUAGAGGAAGUAAAAGUCGUAACA